rnacentral:lncRNA from 1 species
CUGGAUGGUGGAGGUGGUGACCGUGGUGUCGAGCGUGACGGUGUCUGCCUCGGUCUGCGCUUCGUAGGUGUAGUCCUUCUUGGCAACGCUGGUGCUGGCGAGCGUGGUCACCUUGCCUUUAUUGGACUUGAGGAACUGCAUGGAGUAGUAGUCCGGCACGGCGUGGUAGAGCAGGAUGGCCGUCUUGGCCUUGGCCGUCAGGUUCUUGAACUUUGGCAUGAAGGCGGCCACGGCGGCGUCGACAGGGCAGAAGAGCGUGAGCGCAGUGUCCUUGGUUCCGUUGAUGGUAUCGAAGGCUUUGGCAUCGGCAGCUAGGAGGCCGGCGAAGCUCUUGCA